GGGACCUGUUGCCUGUGUCUUUUUCACUUUCCCAGUGAAGUAUUUUUCACUUUUUUCUCUUUCCUUAAAAAAAAAGAGUUACUGUGUUUUCUUUUCUCAUGCUAAAGAAAUCAACAAUGUAGAACACUUGAGACCUUUCUGAAUGAUGUUUCUAUACCUGUGAAGUUUGAAUAAGCCAAAUAACACCAUCAUGGGAUUAAACGAAAUUUUAAGGCCAUUUGGGAGAUUAUAAAAUGCUUGCACAUUUAACUCUUGGUUUGGUGAAUAAAAAGAAGAUGAUGUCUGCGACAAUUAGAACUUUAUGUCAUGCAAAAUUUUAAAAAAGGGAGAAAAGUAGGGGCAGUGGGACUGUUGAGUGCCUAAAGGGCCGAAGCUGCUAAGCAAUUUAUGAGGAACUGAUUUAUGAGAGUUCCAAGCUCUAAAUGCAUUCUACAGGUACUUCAGAAACAGCUACUUCUGUCUUCCUAAUAAGAAUGAUAUGACAAUGAAGACUUUCUAUUCCCUCCUUCCAUCUGUGUUCUACAGUCAUCUGUCAUCCUUUAUCCCUGUUUAGAUUGAAAAUGUUCCUGAUUUAUGCAGUGUUUGUAUUUACAAACUGAACAACCAGUAGGCUGCAUGUGACAGAAGCUGUGGGACCCAUGGAUUUCAGCCCUUGGCAGGAGGGCCCCUGUUACAAGAGGCCAUUUUUGUCCUUGGAGUUGUUAAAUUCUGGCCACUAAUACUUAUCACAAAAUAACUAAGAAAAAGCACAGUUGGACUCUGCCAUCCUUAGGACACACCACCUCUGAAUAAUAACAGAUCAUCCAAAGGAUGUCUGAAAACUACUGAGCCACCAGAAUGGUAAUACUUCCUAAAAUAUAACUCAGGCUUAUCAAUAAAUAGAUAUAUUUUUCCUUUGAUGACAAAGCCAAAUAUCUGUUAUUAUAUAGAACAUAUAGAUGCUCUGUAGCCUUUGAUGAGUCUUUGACACAAAUUGAAUUUUUAACUAAAAUUACACAAGCAUUUAUUUUAGAUUUUAAAAUGCUAUUUGAUAUACUAUAAAUUUAUGCAGUCAAUUGUAUGUCAGCACUUCAAAGAUAAUAGUUGUUCCUUUUUCCUAGAGAGAUAUGAAUUUAAUAUAAACAGUAAUUUAGAUAUAUGCUUACUCAAAUUAUGACUAACAAACAAGAUGAAGCUGCAAAUAAAUAACUUGGGAAAGAUAAAAAUGGCUCAGAAGUAUGCUUACUGUGUUCCUAUAAAAUAUGAUUGCAUCAGGAGAGCAGCAGAGGGAACAACAUAUAAAAAUGAAAAUAAUGUUUUUGACUAUGGUUUUUUUUGAUAGCUUCCCUUCAAAAUCAGACCAUGAAAGGACCAUGUCUUAUGCAAAGGGGGGAUAAAAUGUUCUUUUGUGUUUAUGUUUCUGCAAUAAAAAAAUAGCACUGAUAGUGCUAGAAUAGUGCUAGGAAACAGUUAAUCUAGUUUUUGAGUACAAGAACUGUGCAACCUUAGGGAUACUGGUUGAACCUUGAGAUCUACUGUAAGAAGAAAAUUGCAGUUUCAGGGAUAAUACUAUAUCCUAAAUUCCAUUGAAACCUCACUACCAGAGGUGAUUGUUGUAAGCAUCAUCAUGCCUGUACUUGAGGUGCUGACCAUUGCUGGACCUGGGCUUAUAAAAAGUACUUCAUCAGUAACUCGGUAGCUUUGAUUUACUCUUCUGGUAUCUAGUCCUUAACCACAGCCAUAAUUCCAUUGCAACAUGGAGUUUUUUUCUUCUACAAAUAAAAAUUCUAAUGAUUGCAGUACUUUAUUCUGAUCUUUCCCCCACUUCUCUUAUUCAUAUCUUCCUUAGGUUUUAUUCCCUCUACUUGUAUGUGCCUUAGUCAUUUCUGCACCUCUGAAAGCGUUCUACACUCCCAACUCAUCUGCCAAAAGCAUCUCUAAGAUCCACGCUAAUUACAUGGAAUCCUCAAAACCAAUGCAUUGACAGGAGCAUCCAUAUUUCUUCACCCUUAAAGAUUGUUGUUUUUUGCUUAGUACCACAAAAGUUUUGGAUGAACUGCAGAAGAAGGAAAAGUGUUUUCUUCUUAAGGCUCUGGGACUUCAUAAUGAAGAAGAUUUCAAGAUUGUGAAAACCUGAACCUUUGUAUCAUAGAUUUUUUUUACUGUGGAUUUUGUGGAGGUUUUUUCAUGUUUGCAUGCAGAGGAGUAUUACUAUAUAUAAAAGCACAUAUAAAACCAUGUUUUAAAUUGUUUAAUUAAUAUAUAAAAUAAAUCUAACAGAAUUCCCCAUAAA